rnacentral:rRNA from 1 species
AUUGAACGCUGGCGGCACGCCUAACACAUGCAAGUCGAGCGGCAGCGAGACUAGUAGCAAUACUAGUUGUCGGCGAGCGGCGGACGGGUGAGUAACACGUAGGAAUCUGCCCUUAAGCGGGGGAUAACCAAGGGAAACUUUGGCUAAUACCGCAUAAUCUCGAGAGAGCAAAGCUGCCCGCAAGGGUGGUACUUGAGGAGGAGCCUGCGUCCGAUUAGCUAGUUGGUGGGGUAAUGGCCUACCAAGGCGAUGAUCGGUAACUGGUCUGAGAGGACGACCAGUCACACUGGGACUGAGACACGGCCCAGACUCCUACGGGAGGCAGCAGUGGGGAAUAUUGGACAAUGGGGGCAACCCUGAUCCAGCGAUGCCGCGUGAGUGAAGAAGGCCUUCGGGUCGUAAAGCUCUUUAGGUUGGGAAGAAGUGUAUUGGCUGAAUAAUCCAGUACAUUGACGGUACCGACAGAAUAAGCACCGGCAAACUCUGUGCCAGCAGCCGCAGUAACAC